UACGAAGGGGGCUAGCGUUGCUCGGAAUUACUGGGCGUAAAGGGCGCGUAGGCGGCUCUGUUAGUCAGGCGUGAAAUUCCUGGGCUCAACCUGGGGACUGCGCUUGAUACGGCAGAGCUAGAGGAUGGAAGAGGCUCGCGGAAUUCCCAGUGUAGAGGUGAAAUUCGUAGAUAUUGGGAAGAACACCGGUGGCGAAGGCGGCGAGCUGGUCCAUUACUGACGCUGAGGCGCGACAGCGUGGGGAGCAAACAGG
rnacentral:rRNA from 1 species